rnacentral:rRNA from 1 species
ACGGGGAGCAGCCCAGAGCCUGAAUCAGUAUGUGUGUUAGUGGAAGCGUCUGGAAAGGCGCGCGAUACAGGGUGACAGCCCCGUACACAAAAAUGCACAUGCUGUGAGCUCGAUGAGUAGGGCGGGACACGUGGUAUCCUGUCUGAAUAUGGGGGGACCAUCCUCCAAGGCUAAAUACUCCUGACUGACCGAUAGUGAACCAGUACCGUGAGGGAAAGGCGAAAAGAACCCCGGCGAGGGGAGUGAAAAAGAACCUGAAACCGUGUACGUACAAGCAGUGGGAGCACGCUUAGGCGUGUGACUGCGUACCUUUUGUAUAAUGGGUCAGCGACUUAUAUUCUGUAGCAAGGUUAACCGAAUAGGGGAGCCGAAGGGAAACCGAGUCUUAACUGGGCGUUAAGUUGCAGGGUAUAGACCCGAAACCCGGUGAUCUAGCCAUGGGCAGGUUGAAGGUUGGGUAACACUAACUGGAGGACCGAACCGACUAAUGUUGAAAAAUUAGCGGAUGACUUGUGGCUGGGGGUGAAAGGCCAAUCAAACCGGGAGAUAGCUGGUUCUCCCCGAAAGCUAUUUAGGUAGCGCCUCGUGAAUUCAUCUCCGGGGGUAGAGCACUGUUUCGGCAAGGGGGUCAUCCCGACUUACCAACCCGAUGCAAACUGCGAAUACCGGAGAAUGUUAUCACGGGAGACACACGGCGGGUGCUAACGUCCGUCGUGAAGAGGGAAACAACCCAGACCGCCAGCUAAGGUCCCAAAGUCAUGGUUAAGUGGGAAACGAUGUGGGAAGGCCCAGACAGCCAGGAUGUUGGCUUAGAAGCAGCCAUCAUUUAAAGAAAGCGUAAUAGCUCACUGGUCGAGUCGGCCUGCGCGGAAGAUGUAACGGGGCUAAACCAUGCACCGAAGCUGCGGCAGCGACGCUGAUGCGUUGUUGGGUAGGGGAGCGUUCUGUAAGCCUGCGAAGGUGUGCUGUGAGGCAUGCUGGAGGUAUCAGAAGUGCGAAUGCUGACAUAAGUAACGAUAAAGCGGGUGAAAAGCCCGCUCGCCGGAAGACCAAGGGUUCCUGUCCAACGUUAAUCGGGGCAGGGUGAGUCGACCCCUAAGGCGAGGCCGAAAGGCGUAGUCGAUGGGAAACAGGUUAAUAUUCCUGUACUUGGUGUUACUGCGAAGGGGGGACGGAGAAGGCUAUGUUGGCCGGGCGACGGUUGUCCCGGUUUAAGCGUGUAGGCUGGUUUUCCAGGCAAAUCCGGAAAAUCAAGGCUGAGGCGUGAUGACGAGGCACU